CACGUAGGGUGCGAGCGUUGUCCGGAAUUAUUGGGCGUAAAGAGCUCGUAGGCGGUGUGUCGCGUCGGCCGUGAAAACCUGCAGCUUAACUGUGGGCUUGCGGUCGAUACGGGCAUCACUGGAGUUCGGCAGGGGAGACUGGAAUUCCUGGUGUAGCGGUGAAAUGCGCAGAUAUCAGGAGGAACACCGGUGGCGAAGGCGGCAUCCUGGACCGGUAUUGACGCUGAGGCGCGAAAGCCAGGGGAGCAAACGGG
rnacentral:rRNA from 1 species